rnacentral:lncRNA from 9 species
UGAGUCCAGAUUCUCUGAUUUGAAGGACCAUACUCUUUGGACAGCUGCACCUUGCCUCUUUAUAGAUUAUUCUCUUAUUAGAAUUUUUAUUUUCUUUCCACGUGUCAGAGGUUGUACAGUUCUAACCAAGACUUCAGAUAUUCAAGAGCCAUCAAAGAAAAUAGGAGAGAGCGGAAAUGAAGAAUAUAGAAGGCUGAAGAAAAACUACCAAUGGCUUCCUUGCUCCAUGGUGUUCUAUCCUACCUGCUGGAGCUAGUGCAUAUAACCACAGUACAAGUAUUUCUAGAAGAUUGUUGCGUCCUUAUGAAGACCUUUGAGCACAACAGGAAGGUGAGGGGACAUUUAAUAUUACUGAAAUGGGAUAUGAAAUUAGCCACAAGGAAGUCCUCCAGGAAAAAAGGGUGUGGAAGAGGAGAUGAGUGAAAGAUGAGCAUGAGUAUUGAUCCACUACCUUCAACUAGAAGACCUUGCUUACAAAAGCUAACAUUUUUAAUUUUAAUGAAGUUCAAUUUAUCAAUGUUUUAUCUUAUGGGCUCACACUUUUAGUGUUCCUUUAGAGAGCUUUUAGUGUGAUAUCACGCUUAAAGCCAUUGCCCGAAUAUCCAUAAUAUAUUCUAAGUGGUAUAUGAGUAACAUAAAGUUCUAUAAGAGUUCAGGGGAAGGAAAGAGCACUUAGAAGUAGGUAGUUUUGCUAUGUUGCUUAACAGUUUUCCAAGAAGUCCUGCUGACUCCUGAAUUUUCUAAGUAUUGAGAUAUAUUGUUUAUGCUUUAAGAUUUGGCUUAAGCACAUGAAGUUUAAGAAAUGUAUCUGUCUGAGGCCAGUGAGCUCUAAGCAGAGCCAUUUAGUGAUAAAAAGAACUAGGAAUGUUCUUAAGCUCUCAAAUUCUGCCCAGCACUCACCCUCUUUUUCAGCCAUGUGUCCUUGUAUUCCAUAGGAGUUUCUUUAAAUGGACCCUUUGGAUUUUAUACAUUCUGUGAUGUAUGAGGAAUAAAUUGUUUAUUUUACUUUUUGCUAUGAUCUCUGCUAUGCUAAAGUCUUAGGUUUUAUUCAGUUUUCAGUUUGAGCUUAUUUUUGAGGGUCUGAUGGCUUGUCUGAUUAAAAAAAAAUUUAUUAGUAAAUACCCUAUUAUAGUACCAUGAGUACCUUAAGUCUCAGUGUUUGUAUUGUCAGAAUUCAGCACACAGCAGGUACUCAAUAAAUCUUUGAUGUAAGAGUAAGUGAUUGAACUCCUGACACAACUCAGAAGAGUUAAACUUUUAGCUCCACGCUUCUGUGUAUCUGUUCAUAUCAAUAUACACAUGAGCACUAAAACCAAGAGCGUUACAGAUAAUUCUGAUGUUGGAAAAAAAAAUCUCUUUUUCCCCAAUUCUAUAGAGAAAAAAAAAUCUAGUUUAUCCAGAUGUAAAAGAAAGGGUAAUAUUUUUUAUUUUAGCUGUUAAAAAAUGAUGUUGGCUUUAUUAUAAAUGCUACUUUGUUUAGCUGUUCUUCUAGGGCAAAGAAAAAAUCCAGGUCUGGUAAGGGAAAGAAGGCCCAGCAUCAUUGCCUCAGUGCCCAUCAGUGAUAACACAUCUUUGAUGACACCACCCCGACAAGACUUUUGCUGAGAUCUCUACAGUAUAGCCCUUGUCUUUCAGUGUUCACUGUUUUUUUUGUUUUUGUUUUUGUUUUUGUUUUGUCUUUUUGUCAUUUCUUGGGCUGCUCCUGUGGCAUAUGGAGGUUCCCAGGCUAGGGGUCUAAUCGGAGCUGUAGCCGCUGGCCUAUGCCACAGCCACAGCAACGUGGGAUCCGAGAUGCAUCUGCAACCUACACCACAGCUCACGGCAACACCGGAUCCUUAAACCAAUGAGCAAGGCCAGGGAUCGAACCUGCAACCUCAUGGUUCCUAGUCAUAUUCGUUAACCACUGAGCCAUGAUGGCAACUCCUGUUCAUUGUUUUUACUCAUGCUGGGGGAACAGAGAGCUCCAGCCCCUUCUUUUACUUCCAGCUUCCAAACAGCUCUCAUAACUAACAUAUGCUCUGGCUGAAUGACCUGGCUUCAUUCACAACUAAAUCAGUACUAAAGCAGUCUGGAUGAUAGAUAGCAGCUUAUCAAUAAUUGAAAAGAAAGGCUCUGAGAUGUCCCAUUAUCUGAAUAAUUAAUGUUUCACUUGGGCUUUGUAAUUCCUUAAUAAAACUGACUGAUUGAUUUGCUUAAUUAAUUCCUCCUUUGACAGGCUUAUUGCUUUCUUUGGAGUCAGGGAUGGUCAAAAUGACAAAAAAAAAAAAGAUAAUUUAAACUAAAAGGAAAGAUUUAAAAUUUUCAUAAACUUUAACCCACUCAGAGUAUUACAAAAACAAAAUCUCCAGCAAACCUCCCUUGAACUAUUAUUUGCCAUAAAAGACCCCCAGACUCCUGUCAAUAGACACCAUAUGUCACCUGGGUAUGUUUAGUGUGGCAGCUGAUGAAACAUUAUGCUACAUGGUAAGGGCCCCAGCCACAUCUGUAGUAAUAAACUCAGCUCAACCUUAAACACUUUUGAAUAAAUCUAUCUGAAUGAAUGUUUACAGCAGACUUUCAUUUAAAGCAAUGAGCUCUGAGCAAGGCAGUGGCAGCCACCUCUAUGCUGAGUGAGCUGAUGGCUUUGCCUGUGCAAAGCAUCCCUCUGGUUUUCUGUGCACCUGCUCUGACUGAAGAACAGUGCCUCUCGCUAGAAUUUGGUCCAAUACCAAGUCUGCUGCCAUCCUUCCUGUGAUGACUGGGGUUGAUCAGGAAGGAUUGAAUCACCACAGAAAAUUAAAUUUCUAAGUGGAAAGAAACAGGUCAUGUAGGGCAAGGGUUGGAGGGUAGAGAUUGAGAAAAAUAAAACUGUGAGUUAACUAAGUGAAUGUGAAGUAGUACAUGGCAGAGGGAAGAGAUUAAGGUCAUUUCUCUUAAUUCUGGAACCCAUAUACAAUUUGCAGCGAGAAAAAUAAUAUAAUCAUUCUUAGAAAAUGUUAUAAAAGUAUAAAAAAUAUCGAAGAUAAAUUAUACAAUUGGAAGAAGAAAG